AUUGAACGCUGGCGGCAUGCUUUACACAUGCAAGUCGAACGGCAGCACGGGGGCAACCCUGGUGGCGAGUGGCGAACGGGUGAGUAACACAUCGGAACGUGUCCAGUUGUGGGGGAUAACCCAUCGAAAGGUGGGCUAAUACCGCAUGAGCUGGCGACAGGAAAGCAGGGGACCCGCAAGGGCCUUGUGCGAUUGGAGCGGCCGAUGUCCGAUUAGCUAGUUGGUGGGGAAAGGCCUACCAAGGCUUCGAUCGGUAGCUGGUCUGAGAGGAUGAUCAGCCACACUGGGACUGAGACACGGCCCAGACUCCUACGGGAGGCAGCAGUGGGGAAUUUUGGACAAUGGGGGCAACCCUGAUCCAGCCAUGCCGCGUGAGUGAAGAAGG
rnacentral:rRNA from 1 species